UGGGGAGCGAAAUUUAGUAGCGAAGUUCCUGAUGUCACACUGCCAAGAAAAGCUUCUAGUGAGAAAGCAACUGCCCGUACCGCAAACCGACACAGGUAGUUGAGGAGAGAAUCCUAAGGUGUGCGAGAGAACUCUCGUUAAGGAACUCGGCAAAAUGACCCCGUAACUUCGGGAGAAGGGGUGCUGACCGCAAGGUCAGCCGCAGUGAAUAGGCCCAAGCGACUGUUUAUCAAAAACACAGGUCUCUGCAAAAUCGAAAGAUGACGUAUAGGGGCUGACGCCUGCCCGGUGCUGGAAGGUUAAGAGGAGAGGUUAGCGCAAGCGAAGCUUUGAAUUGAAGCCCCAGUAAACGGCGGCCGUAACAAUAACGGUCCUAAGGUAGCGAAAUUCCUUGUCGGGUAAGUUCCGACCCGCACGAAAGGCGUAACGAUUUGGGCACUGUCUCAACGAGAGACUCGGUGAAAUUAUAGUACCAGUGAAGAUGCUGGUUACCCGCGACAGGACGGAAAGACCCCAUGGAGCUUUACUGCAGUUUGAUAUUGCGUGUUUGUAUCACAUGUACAGGAUAGGUAGGAGCCGAAGAUACCGGGACGCCAGUCUCGGAGGAGGCAACGGUGGGAUACUACCCUUGUGAUAUGACCACUCUAACCCGCUGCUCUUAGCGAGCAGGGAGACAGUGUCAGACGGGCAGUUUGACUGGGGCGGUCGCCUCCAAAAAUGUAACGGAGGCGCCCAAAGGUUCCCUCAGAAUGGUUGGAAAUCAUUCGUAGAGUGUAAAGGCAGAAGGGAGCUUGACUGCGAGACCUACAAGUCGAGCAGGGACGAAAGUCGGGCUUAGUGAUCCGGUGGUUCCGCAUGGAAGGGCCAUCGCUCAACGGAUAAAAGCUACCCUGGGGAUAACAGGCUUAUCUCCCCCAAGAGUUCACAUCGACGGGGAGGUUUGGCACCUCGAUGUCGGCUCAUCGCAUCCUGGGGCUGUAGUCGGUCCCAAGGGUUGGGCUGUUCGCCCAUUAAAGCGGUACGCGAGCUGGGUUCAGAACGUCGUGAGACAGUUCGGUCCCUAUCCGUCGCGGGCGUUGGAAAUUUGAGAGGAGCUGUCCUUAGUACGAGAGGACCGGGAUGGACACACCGCUGGUGUACCAGUUGUUCUGCCAAGAGCAUCGCUGGGUAGCUAUGUGUGGACGGGAUAAACGCUGAAAGCAUCUAAGCGUGAAGCCCCCUCAAGAUGAGAUUUCCCAUCACAUC
rnacentral:rRNA from 1 species